UCAGUCUUUUGCUUUUUAGACUCCAGUUUCUCCCCAUUAUCCUCAGAAUGACCACCAAGGGCCUUCAUGAUCUGGCUUUAUUAACCUCUCUUCCUGGUCUCCUUUUCCACACACCACAGGUUCUGCAGUUCACAGAUGAAGACGAUUUCCUCUCCCCUGAGUGUGCUGUUCUCUCUCUUGGCUCCAGGCUGUUGAACAUGUUGUUCCCUCCACCUGGAAAGCUUCUCUUUCACUCCCUGGCCCUUUACCUGAGCCUUAUUCAUGGUUUAAGUUUCAGUGGAAAUAGCACAGCUCUCAGGAAGCCUUCUCCAAGCCCCUGGGGCCCAGGAAUGAUGCUCCUCGUCUACAGCCACUUGGUCCCAAGACUUGCCUCUGGUCCAGCGCUCCCAUGGGCAUGGUCCUCGCCUAUGCACAAGGAGACCUGGAGGGCAGGGGCUGUGUUUUGCUUUUGUUUUGUUGUCAGUCCUGGGUGCCUGGCACAUAGGAAGGUGCUUACAAAGGUUUGGAAUUGAUCAAAAUCGGUCGGAGAACUUCAUUUUACCCUUGGAUUUCCUAUGCAUAUAAUUCAACGGGAACCUCCCUAUUUUAUUGAAAGCAUAUGACAGACCAAAACGCCACAGAUAUGAAAGAAAGGGGUGCUGGGCGUCGACCCAGGUCACAGAGUUGGUGACAUCCCUGACGAGCUGCUUUGUGGUCUAAUCCGGCCUUCAGGAAGCAGGGUAAUAUACAUGGAAUCAGACAGAUGUAAUCUUCUGGGACUGGCUCCCUUCACUCAGCCCGAUGUUUUGGAGGGUCCCUGUGUGGCUGAGCUUGGUGACUUGUGCUUCGGUCUCACUGAGUGACCAUCCCUCUGCUGCUUGUUUGUCCCUCAGAGAAGGAGAGCUGCACUGACUGCCUGACCCCCCCAUUCAGACUUCACCCAGCUUCCCCGUCUCCCAUAUCCUCCUACUGGGCCCUGUGUAUGUCAUAGAGGAAGGUCUCUAAGAGGAGACUUGCUCACAAGGGAAAGGGGUGCGAGCAUGAACGCCUUCUUGGCUGCCCUGCACCAGGCCUGGGCCGACCUCGCAGGCUGGUGAGGAGAUUACCAACACAGGGACGUGACUCAUGUCGGCAAAGUAGGAUUUGAUUGGAAGGAUUUUCCCGGAAAGGAGAAGAGCUGGGGCAGCUCCAGGGGUCCCACAGGAGGAGCUAAUGGACUUCUUCAUUGGGCACCAGGGACAAAUCAGCUCAGCUGGUGUUUGGCCCUGAGUCCCACUGCUCCAGAGUGGGAGUCUUGGGGAAGAGAAGGCCUGGCCUGCCUCAGGUGGGAGAGGGUAACCCGCAGAGUGGUACCCUGCAGAGAGAGGCGGCUCCACCAGAGCGGUCAGGUGCUGGGACCAGGGGAAGGGGCAGACGCUGGGAUGGCAGGUCAAAGUUUGACUCCUCCAGAAAAAUACCAGCUCCCCCAAAUGAGGGUGGGUCUAUCUGCAGGGGUCAUGUAACCCUGAUCAUUCAUGCUUUUCCUGGGCCUGAGAGUGGAUCUGGAAUACACUGUAUUAAAUAAUAAUAUUUAUUACUAUUUGGGUUGGUAUUUUCAGGGCUUUUCUCUAGUUUCUAGAUUUGCCCUCCUUUAGUGUUCCCACAUUUAUUUUAUUUUUGUAUUUAAUGUUAGUAUUUUCAUGUUAUAUUUGUACACACACAUGCAUGAUUGUUUCCAUGCCUUGAGUCCCUUGGUGCUAGUUGCAUUUUUAGGUUAUAUCAACUCUGCUACCCUGAGAAUCACGCUUGGCAUCUUCAGACUUUGUUUUUAAACCAACAAAUGAAGGACUGAUCUGCUCCUCUCAUCCCAGGGUCAGAGCACUGGCCUGGGAGCCAUCACUGGAGCCAGGAAAGCAGCCCUCGAUGCCUUGCUUAGGAUGAAACUUCUGGAAAACAGCCCAAUCUCCCUCAGCCUUGGUUUCCUGUCUGUGAAAUAAGCAUGCUGGUGUUCUACACCUAAUUCCAAAAGCUGAGAUUUUGUGCAAAAUUUCAGUUGUUGAAAACACACUGGGGGAAAAUGUGAUUGGAUGUACAUGCUGUGAUCCUUUAGAAUAACAAGUUGUGUGUAUCACUGUACCCUGAUGGUCUCCAAUAUGUUUUGUUGUGUCUCUGAGUAUUGUAAUUAUGUUAAUAAUGCUAUAAUGAAACUUAUCCAUGAAAUACACACUUGAUCCCCAGUUGAUUGAGUCUAGGGGAAAGAAAGCGCAUCCA
ensembl:lncRNA